rnacentral:rRNA from 1 species
GAUGAACGCUGGCGGCGUGCCUAAUACAUGCAAGUCGAGCGAACAGACGAGGAGCUUGCUCCUCUGACGUUAGCGGCGGACGGGUGAGUAACACGUGGAUAACCUACCUAUAGACUGGGGUAAAUUCGGGGAAACGGAGCUAAAAACGGAUAAAUUAUUGGACCGGCAGGGUCAAUAGUGGAAGGAGGGUUUGGUGGCACUUAUAGGAUGAUCCGGGCCGCAUUAGCUAGUUGGUAAGGUAACGGCUUACCAAGGCAACGAUGCGUAGCCGACCUGAGAGGGUGAUCGGCCACACUGGAACUGAGACACGGUCCAGACUCCUACGGGAGGCAGCAGUAGGGAAUCUUCCGCAAUGGGCGAAAGCCUGACGGAGCAACGCCGCGUGAGUGAUGAAGGUCUUCGGAUCGUAAAACUCUGUUAUUAGGGAAGAACAAAUGUGUAAGUAACUAUGCACGUCUUGACGGUACCUAAUCAGAAAGCCACGGCUAACUACGUG